UUGUUGUGUAAUUUGGCUAGAAGAUUCAAAUAUGAAUCACCCUCCUUUGAGUUUGAAUUCUUUUCCCUCUAUUUUUCAAAUGACAUUCAAAUGAGUUUUGUUUUAAACCUUUGACCCCAUUUGAAUAUUUUCCAAAUACUAGUACCAUAUUUGUUUUCUCCUACUUCUUAGCUAUUCAAAAAGGUGUUUCAAAUUUGAAUCCAAAAACUAUUUGCAAAAACAGAAAAAAAAAGGAAAAGAAAACCUUACCUGCUCACUUGGCCCGAGCCAGCCCAGCUGCCUCGGCCCGCCUUCCCCGCGCGCCGCGCAGCCCCGCAGCGCGGCCCCGUUUCUCUCCUCGUGCGCGCGGCCCGCCACCGCCCGCGGCCCAGUUUCCUUUGCGCCGCGCCUGCGUGCCGUUUCCCUGCAGCGAAAGCGCAUUCUGCAAAAUACACCACCUCUCACACGCCCGUCUUCCUCCUCACCUUUUCUCCCUCCCGAUCGGUGAGGCCCCCCGGCCACGUCCUCUUCGACAGCGAUAGCCCCGCCUCCACGCCGCCUUUAUAAGCUGCUCGGCGCCCCUCCUGCUAACCCUAGGCCAGCAAAACCCUAGC
rnacentral:lncRNA from 1 species